rnacentral:rRNA from 1 species
CACGUAGGGUGCGAGCGUUGUCCGGAAUUAUUGGGCGUAAAGAGCUCGUAGGCGGCUUGUCGCGUCGGAUGUGAAAGCCCGGGGCUUAACUCCGGGUCUGCAUUCGAUACGGGCAGGCUAGAGUUCGGUAGGGGAGAUCGGAAUUCCUGGUGUAGCGGUGAAAUGCGCAGAUAUCAGGAGGAACACCGGUGGCGAAAGCGGGUCUCUGGGCCGAUACUGACGCUGAGGAGCGAAAGCGUGGGGAGCGAACAGG